rnacentral:ncRNA from 1 species
UCGAUAUAAUAUUGCAUUCGAAUAGGUGCGUGUUUGAGAACUUUCGGAGAUUUAGAAUUUCGAACAAACGAACAUUUACAUUCUUAUUUGUUUAAAGUAAAUGGAUCCCGGUCAUACGAAGGAUGUGAAAAUAAUCAUUUUGCAACUAACAUCAAAGUGGCAUCCGAAAGUUCGAAACGAUUCUGAUGUGCAAAUCGAUUAUUUGACUUCGGCAUAAAGACGAAAGACUAAAUCGAAUAAUUUAAAAAGUGGGUUUCUCUGAAGUUUCCCUCAGAUCCCUCAGGAUCUGGAGAAGCAGUUAUAUUCGAUAAAGCGAAUGAUAAGAGGAAUUGUGGGACAAAAUGUCUUCAACCUAUUCUCAAACUUUCAAUGAGUAUGACGUUUUGCUUGCUUGAAUAAUAGGGAGACAUUGAAUGUGUGCUUCAAGUAGCCAUUUUUGUAAGAUGAACCAAAUGCUGAGUUAAAAUAUAAGCGAAAAUUUCCACUAACCUGUUGAAGUUGUUUGGUUUUUUCAAUUGCAGCAACAGAUGAUGGAGAAGAAGAUAAAAUAAGUGUAGCUUCAGUAGCAGGUGAUGUUGCAUCAUGUGGAAAU